rfam:Brachypodium distachyon strain Bd21 chromosome 2, whole genome shotgun sequence.
CUAAUACUUUCUCCGUCCAACAAAAAAUGUUUUAAGUUUGUCAAAAUUUGGAUGUAUCUAAACAUGACUUAGUAUAUAGAUGCAUUCAAAUUUUGUCAAAGUUGAGACAUCUUUUGUUGGAUGGAGGGAGUACAUG